AACUGUGGAAGUUUAAAAAAAUUUUUUUGUGGUAACCUAUAAAGCUAAAAUGGAGAUAUAUUUAUUACAUAUAUAGUCAUAAUGUCUUUCCUAUAUAUUUGGGACAAAUAAAAGAACUCUAUCCCACUUAUCUUCCAACUGAUUAAUGAAUUAACCAAUCUUACCCAGAACUGUGGAGAUAUUUUAGCUCUGGCAUAUCAUGCUCCUUUAGCCAGUGAAAAUUAUUUUCUCCAGAAAAUAAUUUUACCUUUAGUUUUGGAUAUGUUUGAUAAACACAUGUUUAUCAUGUGUUUAAAAUACAUCCCAUCAAACUUUGGUCUUGUAUAUGGUGACAAAGAUGGUUAUGAUCUGUAGAGGUUAGAAAUGAAAAUCAAAAGACAAAGUCUCAGAAAAGUAAUAAACACAUUAAGUCAAAGUAACCCUAAAUGCAAAUGGAAGGAAAUAUAAGAUAAUGAUACAACUAUGCAAGGCAAAAGAUUAAGAAAACUCAUUACCACAUUAUGAGAAAUAACUAAGAAAGACCAUUUUGAGUUAACUGUAGCAGAAUAAAGGGAUUGGCAGCCCUCUCCAUAAUUCUCCUGCAGUGAUUUCUUAAACUACUGAGUAAGGUUUUCUAUUUCUAAUUAGCUAAGUCUUAGAAAUAUGCCCUCUAAUGUGACUCAUAUGAACAUAUGGAGUAACUACAAAAAUAUUAUGGAACUUGAGCUUAAUAUAGGUUAAACAUGUUUUCUCCAUAUCAUAAAUGGUGAAACAUUGUUCUGAUACAGUACUGUAAUGCAUUUAUCUGUGAGCUCCAGAACUUGAGUUGAGACACGUGUGAUUUCACGUGUCAAGAUCAGGGUUUUUGUUUUGCUGACUCUGGGUUGGUUUUCACAGUCCGUGAUUUGUGAGCUCUAAGCAAUGAUAAUGGUAACCAGGCAUGCCAUGAUAUCCUGACUAAAACUGGACUCUGGCCCAGAUGGGAAAGCUAAUGGUAAUCAUAAUGAGACCUUGCAUGUAUUGAGUGCCUAGGGUAUGCCAAGUGUGAGCCUAUUUGCCACGUGUUAACUUAUUUAAUCCUCACAACAGCCCUAUUAUACAUAGGAAGAAACUGAGACACAGAGAAGCUGAGUAAGUUACUCAACCUCACACAGCCAGAACAUGGCAGACCUGGGUUUUGAACCCAGGACUUCUGGCUCCGGGUCCCACACUUGAAACUUCACUGUUCAGUAGUAUAUCAGAUGUUGUGGUAUUUUUGUACCGCUGUUGGUGACAUCCCCGUGUCUCUUUGGCAUUCUUAUUGGGAUAUCUAUCUCUUUCGACAUUUUUUUUUUCCUGUUCUGAUGCAGCAACAGGACCCUCUUUGAUUCAGAGAAUAUGGUGCCCUUAAUGAAUCAUCAAGAUGUCCGUGAACAAUUUCAGGGGUUUUCUGUAGAGAUCUCUUUUCUUUCCUUCUUCUUCUUCUUCUUUUUUAUUUUUUAAGAUCUCGUUUCUGAAUUCUGACUCAACCCACCAGAAUGAUUUGAUAGUGAUGGAGUAUGACUCCACACAAUUACAUGAAUGAAAAUCCUCAACCGCAUUCACUAGUGGAAAAGAAAGAAACUAACGUUUUUGGAACGCAUAGCCUCUGUAACUAAGAACAUCUUCUACUCGUUCUCUAUUAGUUGGAGUUUUAGGGAGAUUUAUUAACGUUUAGGGUGCUGAUAUUGCAUGGGCCAAAAGUAAUGGGAGAGUUCUGUGGUCUGAGCAAUAACAGUGAAUCACAGGACAACCAAGAUUCUCAAGGCCAAACUAAACAACGUUACUGAGAAUACAUACAAGCUUACUACCCAGUUAAAAAAUUUCUUGUGCACCCGCCAUCUCAUUGCUUUUGUGUAUCAGAGUUUCCCAAGUAAUGCUCAUCAACACCAGGUUUCUUUUAAAACAGAGCCUCCUUAAAGCGCUUCACAUGUGUACAAGGCUGAGAGCAACAAAUAUCCUAGUCCCAUUAUAGAUCCAAGAGGAAAAGAAAGUGUUAAAAAGCCUGAUGAAGUCCUCACUUAGUAGUGGCCCAAAUCCUCAGUGGAUUGGAUUAUUCUAGAAAGAACCAGUGACCCUCUUCAGCCAAUGUGUUUUGAGUCCUGAUGUGUGCCAGGCUCCUGGUUGUGAGCUAAGGACACAGAACUGAAUAAGCACCUUCUUUGCACUCAGAGGGCCCCUAAAUGACUUCUGUCUUCUCUGCUCAAUCCUUUUGUCUCUAAGUCUUGUGUGAUCAUGCUGCCACAUCAAGAUCUAGUCUCGUAGUUUCGUAAUGCCCCCUUCUCCCUGCACCACCAAACCUCCCCACACACCGGGCUAAAGUCACAGUGCUUUUUACGCGGAAAGCCAUGGAAAUGUGAAGUUUACUGUUUUGCUCUCUCUGAUAAAAUAUAGCAUAAUAACUGGUUGCUGGGUUACUGCAUAAAACACAGGCCCCAAAUGUAGCCAGGAAGAAUAGUUAGCAAUUAAGUAAAGGAAAUGACUAGUGGGUUUGAAACUCAACACACGGCCCAUGUAUACUUCUUAGCAAAGGAAGGCAUCUGGGUUACUUAGGCAACUUUUAUCACUAAGGAAGUAGUUUUGGUGACUCACACUCAUACAGAACAACUGCUUUCAAAAUCUGUUAUUUGGUGCCUUUACCAUUAGGCUUCUGUUUUCCUUUAUCUUUGGACUGGGACAGAAAAAAGCUACAUUUGGAUGGCACGGGUUUAUUACUUAGUAGCAUAUGAUUCUCUGGCUGACCUAUGUUUUGAAAUUUAAUGGACCUGUGGUGAUCAGAGUAAAAGAUAGAAGCUUUCAGUGUGAGGCCAGGGCAUGGAGCACCAUUUGCGCGAUUCGUGAGCCUUAGCAGCCCCUCCCUCUUCUGUGGGGCCCCUUUCAGGGAACAUGGGAGAAGGGACGGUCCAGUGGUUCUCAAAGUGGGGUUCCCAGACCAGUAACAUCCGCAUCGUCUGCUGUUUGUUGGCAAUGCUGUCGCUUCCCAACUUAGGCUGACCGAGUCAGAACUCUGGAGCAGAGGCCCAACAGUCUGGUUUUAAAGAAGACUUCCAGAUGAUUCUGAGGAGUGCUGAUGUCUGAGAACCAUCAUGCUAGUGAAUUAUUAGUACUUGUGGCCAUGAAGAGUAUGAAAACUACAGUGGUUGGAGAGUGGGGACAUUGAUGAGUCUGUUGAUGAGGAAAUGAGGAAUAGUUAGGAGAGAGAGUUUUAACUUGAGAAUCAAAAAAUGAAAAGUCUGGAAUUUAAUGAGGAAGACUGAUUGCUUGCAAGAACCUUUGCUUUCUUAGAGAAGGACAAUCCGGAUGACUGGGGGACUGUGAACUAACUAUAUGAGCAUGGUUCUGAAAUUCUCGAAUAAUCUCUUGUGAGAGAAGUCAUGCCUUUCCGUAUGAGGACAUACAUUCAACUCAGUAUGCUGGAUUGGCACCGAGGAGUUAGGACAGCCACACUUUGAGAUAACGACUAAAUGCCCAUCUUUGCAUCCAUCCACUCAAGGGACCUCUAAAAUUGCCAAAAACGACCGCAAUCUCUGUACUGGCAAAUGAAAGAUUAUUCCAGACUUUGCUGUGAAAGAGAGGAGAAGGGUGCCGGGGCUGUGCUCAGAGGAGAUCAUGAUCCGUGGAAAGAUGACCCGAACCUGUCAACUUGGAGCCAAUUUGAGCAUAUGGAGGCAAAGAGUCAAAACGGAAAGAAAGAGAGAGACUCUUCUGGAUUUUGUGCAGCUCUGUAAUUUAAACAGGGUUGCGCGUGGCAGCAGGCGGCCUGGUGUGUCAGAGUGGAUGCAAAGAUGGUAAACCGGAAGGAGGCCUGGAAAGAAGGGAAAUGGGCAAUGAGCAUCUCUUGAGACAAAGCAGUGUGUGUGUGUGUGUGUGUGCGCGCACGCGUGUGUGCUAUGUGUUUUAGCAAGGUUUAAAAAGGUUUUAUUAAAUUGGAGGCAUCCAAUUUAGGGGGCACCUGGGUGACUCCAUCAGAAGAGCUUGCAAAUCUUGAUCUCGGGUUCAAGCCCCACCUUGGGCCUAGAGCUUACUUAAAAAAAUAACAAAAAAAUAAAUUGGAAGCCUCAGGAUGAACUUGCAGCUUAAAAAAUUUUCCCUUCUAAAGCUGAACGAGUCUACUCUCUCUGAAGCUGGUUGUGUGGAACAUUGAAUGUUCUGUUAUUCUUCCAGUAAAAGAAGGUUGGGGAGGGGUAACUGGUACCAAAUCUGGGGGUCAAAUAUAAAAAGGAGCUUAGAAUAGGAAGGAAUAGCCAAGAAAUGUUUGCAAAAGAAGAGGAAUUCUGGGGGUUCCUAGUAGGUGUGAAAAUGUAUUUCCAAGUUCCACUGUUUGCCGGUGUGAUUUGCCAACAGGAACAGCAGACAUACCCCAAGAAGGGCUGGCCCCCAUGAGGACGAACCUGCCUUAGAAUCUAGUAUGUGAACAAGGAAGUAUUACAAACCACUGUGGAAGGGGAAUCUAGGUAUUUGCAGAAAAGCUGGGUUUAAAACCUCUCCUUGCAUACCAAUCAAAAUAGAUUAAAAAAAUGAAACAUAAAGGAAGAGAACAUACAGCGGAAUGUAGCUCAUUUUUUCCCCAAGUAUAGGACUUCCUAGGCUUGGAUAAUCACACAGGAAAACUGUGUGUAUUUGACUGCAGAAAAUUAAAUACGUUUGUGUCGUAAAAUACUAUAAACCAAAUCCAAUGGAAACUGAUGAACAGAGAGACAUUUUUACAACACACAUGGCUGACAGCUUUAUAGCCACAAAAAAAACAUUGUGGUAAUGCAGUCAGAAACUCAUAUUAUCCCAGUAGCAAAAGGACAAAUAUAACAAAUAAAGGACAGAAGAAAAUAAUUAUAGAUGUCCCAUAAACAUGUGAUAAUUCAUCCUCGAUAUGAAUUUUUAAAAGGAAAAUAAAAAUAACACACUAAUUUUUUGGCCUAUAAGAUAGACAGAACUUUAAAAUGGCAACACCUGUUCACGAGGAUAAAGCAGGUGAGGGUCCUCAGCCAAUGAUGACAAGUUGGGCUCGUAAUCAUUUUGGAAAUGCAUCAGGAACUUAGGUAGUAAUUAUGUCUUUCACCUCGUAACCCCCCCUUCUAGACUCUAGCUGAUGAGAACCUCAGAGCAUUUGAAUAUUUAUAUGCAAGAAUUUCAUCGCCCUGUUCACAUAGCAAAAAACGGAAUCCUCUUCAAUGUUCAAUACUGAGAGACCGGAAAAAGAAAUUAUGGAUGUUUAUGUAUUACAGAAGCUACUAAGGUGGGAAGGAUACCCAGUGAACAGUUGAAAGUGGCUGAUUUUUAGGGAUGAGGGUGGAAUCAAGGCAUUUUUGGAAGCUGGAUUUUUUUUUUUUUUUUUUUACCUUUUGUAAUUUGCUUUACUCCUCCAAAUUAGCAUGCAUUAUUCAGAAAAUUCAGAAAAAAUUUAAAAAAAAUUUCAUAAAAAGUAAAGGUGAUAUGUAAAAAAUGAUAUAUCCCUUUGAUACAAAUGCAAAAGUGAUCAUGAUAAAAUGUUAGAUGGAAAAAAAAAACAGGGCAUAAAACACAAAUGCAGUAAGAUGAUGAUUUUGGUCAAAUAUAAUGAGUGCAAAGACUAGAGAGAGAAAUACUAUGAUUUAGCUAUAGUUAUCUCUUGUGGCUUUUUAAAAUUUUCUUUUUAAAUAUAUUUUCCUAUUUUCUGCAUUAUGUGUAAUGGGCAUACAUAUUUUAUUAGCUGUGAACAUAGAGGAAGAACAGUCCUCUUACAGUUGGAUUGGGCUCUCGAUUCUGGGCAUUUCUGAUGUUAUGUUUAUUAGGUCUCUUUCACUUCGGUGAUAACCAGAAAAUUGUUUUUCAAAUAAUGUCUUACCUCUAUAGGGAAAAAGUAAUACGAUGGAACUGCAGUCUUAAGCUUUUGGGUUUUCAAACUGCAACGAGACAGAAAUAAGGCUCUUGGUUGCAUUCUUUGCCACCCUGUUCUUGAAGUAAGGCCUACAGUAAAAGAAGGAAAAAAAAAGAUAGGCCACGCAGAUUCCUGACAUUCUUUCCUAACCAGAAUGAGUUUUAACCCCUAAUGUGAUUUUUCCCCCUUAAAAUAGAUACCAUCUCUCGUCUUUCAGUUAUUCUUUGAUACCUUCCAAAUUUUUUUAAAAUUGGUGCUCUCUCCUGAUUCUUUAAAACAAAAACAAAAACAAAAAAAAAAC